rnacentral:rRNA from 1 species
AUACGGAGGGGGUUAGCGUUGUUCGGAAUUACUGGGCGUAAAGCGUACGUAGGCGGACUGGAAAGUUGGGGGUGAAAUCCCGGGGCUCAACCCCGGAACUACCUCCAAAACUUCCAAUCUAGAGAUCGAGAGAGGUGAGUGGAAUUCCAAGUGUAGAGGUGAAAUUCGUAGAUAUUUGGAGGAACACCAGUGGCGAAGGCGGCUCACUGGCUCGAUACUGACGCUGAGGUACGAAAGCGUGGGGAGCAAACAGGAUUAGAUACCCUAGUAGUCC